rnacentral:rRNA from 1 species
CCUACGUGUGGCAGCAGUGGGGAAUAUUGGGCAAUGGAGGCAACUCUGACCCAGCAACGCCGCGUGAAUGAUGAAGGUCUUCGGAUUGUAAAGUUCUGUGAUGGGGGAUGAACACAAUGACGGUACCCCAAUAGCAAGCCACGGCUAACUACGAGCCAGCAGCCGCGGUAAUACGUAGGUGGCAAGCGUUAUCCGGAAUGACUGGGCGUAAAGGGGGAGUAGGGGGUUUGGUAAGUUGGCGGGGUAGUUCCGGGGCUCAACCUCGGCGCUACAGUCCAAACUAUUAGACUAGAGUGCAGGGGGGGUAAGUGGAAUUCCUAGGGUAGCGGUGGAAUGCGUAGAUAUUAGGAGGAACACCAGGGGCGAAGGCGACUUACUGGACUGUAACUGACGCUGAGGCACGAAAGCGUGGGGAGCAAACAGGAUUAGAUACCCCAGUAGUC